CUUAGAGUUUGAUCCUGGCUCAGGAUGAACGCUAGCGACAGGCUUAACACAUGCAAGUCGAGGGGCAGCAUGAUUUGUAGCAAUACAGAUUGAUGGCGACCGGCGCACGGGUGAGUAACGCGUAUGCAACUUACCUAUCAGAGGGGGAUAGCCCGGCGAAAGUCGGAUUAAUACCCCAUAAAACAGGGGUCCCGCAUGGGAAUAUUUGUUAAAGAUUCAUCGCUGAUAGAUAGGCAUGCGUUCCAUUAGGCAGUUGGCGGGGUAACGGCCCACCAAACCGACGAUGGAUAGGGGUUCUGAGAGGAAGGUCCCCCACAUUGGUACUGAGACACGGACCAAACUCCUACGGGAGGCAGCAGUGAGGAAUAUUGGUCAAUGGCCGAGAGGCUGAACCAGCCAAGUCGCGUGAAGGAAGAAGGAUCUACGGUUUGUAAACUUCUUUUAUAGGGGAAUAAAGUGGAGGACGUGUCCUUUUUUGUGUGUACCCUAUGAAUAAGCAUCGGCUAACUCCGUGCCAGCAGCCGCGGUAAUACGGAGGAUGCGAGCGUUAUCCGGAUUUAUUGGGUUUAAAGGGUGCGUAGGUGGUGAUUUAAGUCAGCGGUGAAAGUCUGUGGCUCAACCAUAAAAUUGCCGUUGAAACUGGGUUACUUGAGUGUGUUUGAGGUAGGCGGAAUGCGUGGUGUAGCGGUGAAAUGCAUAGAUAUCACGCAGAACUCCGAUUGCGAAGGCAGCUUACUAAACCAUAACUGACACUGAAGCACGAAAGCGUGGGGAUCAAACAGGAUUAGAUACCCUGGUAGUCCACGCAGUAAACGAUGAUUACUAGGAGUUUGCGAUACAAUGUAAGCUCUACAGCGAAAGCGUUAAGUAAUCCACCUGGGGAGUACGCCGGCAACGGUGAAACUCAAAGGAAUUGACGG
rnacentral:rRNA from 1 species